rnacentral:misc_RNA from 1 species
AAGAAGAAGAAGAAAAGAGAAGAGGGGAGAAAUGGACCAAGGGACGGGCAGCAGAGACUACCUCUGCAGAAUGAAAAGUAAGGGCCCUCCCAGGGCCAUUAUCUUUUGAAUUGAAUAAAUGAUAGAGAAGAAUAGAUGAGACAAGACGGGGGCAAAACAAGAUCAAGAGGACUUGGAAAGAAAGGAAAAGGAAAACUUCAAGAUUGAAAAAGAAUAGAGAGAUAGAGAGAGAGAGAG